rnacentral:rRNA from 1 species
GAUGAACGCUGGCGGCGUGCCUAAUACAUGCAAGUCGAGCGAACGGACGAGAAGCUUGCUUCUCUGAUGUUAGCGGCGGACGGGUGAGUAACACGUGGAUAGCCUACCUAUAAGACUGGGAUAACUUCGGGAAACCGGAGCUAAUACCGGAUGAUAUUUUGAACCGCAUGGUUCAAAAGUGAAAGACGGUCUUGCUGUCACUAAUAGAUGGAUCCGCGCUGCAUUAGCUAGUUGGUAAGGUAACGGCUUACCAAGACAACGAUGCAUAGCCGACCUGAGAGGGUGAUCGGCCACACUGGAACUGAGACACGGUCCAGACUCCUACGGGAGGCAGCAGUAGGGAAUCUUCCGCAAUGGGCGAAAGCCUGACGGAGCAACGCCGCGUGAGUGAUGAAGGUCUUCGGAUCGUAAAACUCUGUUAGUAGGGAAGAACAUAUGUGUAAGUAACUGUGCACAUCUUGACGGUACCUAAACAGAAAGCCACGGCUAACUACGUG